ACAGUCGUCGUCACCGCGAAGCUUAGGACUCGAUUUUGAAAUCACAUCCAACCCAAUCCGCUCUCUGAUCUUAACAAAAAUUAGAAACUCUACAAUUUACGCUCCGUGGCCGUCGACUUCGUUCUUGUCUUGUUUAGCGCUUCAAUUCUCUUGCGUUCUCUGAAUUCGUUUUGGGCGUUCUCUGGGUUUGAUUCGGUUUUCGGCGGGCUUCCAUCUUUGGCUUCAACGGCUGCCGGAAACCCUAGUUUUCCAACGGCUUUGAUUUUGUGCACCUGUUAAUCUACUUGCUGGGUUUUUCAUAUUCUCUCUGUUUUUUUUUUGUUUGGGAUUUGCAUACUGAGUGAUCCAUUUGCAGGAGUUCUUAUAUUUUGCUUAUUGUUUUGUUGGAUAUUUGCAGGGUAUUUGAUCUUUAGUCUCUCUCUCUGUCCGCUUUUUUGUUAUUGUUUUCAUUUUUCACAUAUAUAUUGUCUUGUGGCAUCUUAACAUAACAAUGAGGUCUUUAUAUACCUUGAGGUCACAGUCUAGGUGCCCUCUUGAAGAACGGCUUCUUCAGAAAAGGAAUUCUCGGGAAAUUUGGACAGGUUCAUACCAAAUAGGUCUGCAAUGGAUUUUGAUUUUGCGCAUUACAUGCUUACUCAAGGUAGGAAAGGUAAGGAAAACCCAUCUAGAUAUGGAAGAGACUAUAGGACGCAGUUGGCAGAGGCUAUGAACAUGAAUCGCACUAGAAUCCUCGCUUUCAAGAACAAGCCUACUGCCCCUGUAGAGCUUUUCCCGAGCAACUUCUCUUCUUUGCGACAGGAUAAACCGGCAAACCAUAAGCCACACAGACACAUUCCUCAAACUUCAGAGAGAACACUGGAUGCUUCUGACCUUAUUGAUGAUUACUAUCUGAAUUUGUUGGAUUGGGGAAGCUCCAAUGUUAUCGCAAUAGCUCUUGCAAACACAGUUUAUUUGUGGGAUGCUACUGAUAGUUCUACUUCGGAACUGGCCACAUUUGAUGUUGAAAGGGGACCUGUUACCAGUGUCAGUUGGGCUAUUGAUGGACGCCACAUUGCCAUUGGACUGGACAAUUCCGAAGUACAGCUAUGGGAUUCAACUGCUAAUCAGUAUCUGAGAACCUUGAGAGGUUGUCACAGAUCACGGGUAGGCUCACUAGCGUGGAACAAUCACAUUCUUACAACUGGAGGAAUGGAUGGCCGCAUUGUAAACAAUGAUGUAAGAAUUAGAUCGCACAUUGUUGAGACAUACAGAGGACAUGAACGAGAGGUUUGUGGGCUUAAGUGGUCGGCCUCAGGCCAGCAAUUAGCAAGUGGAGGAAAUGAUAACCUGCUCCAUAUAUGGGACAACAGAUCAGUGGCACCAACACAGUGGCUUCACAGGCUUGAAGACCAUACAGCUGCUGUAAAAGCCCUUGCUUGGUGUCCUUUCCAGAGAAAUUUGCUAGCUUCUGGUGGAGGUGGGAAUGAUCAGUGCAUAAAGUUCUGGAACACUCACACAGGUGCAUGCCUGAACUCGGUCGACACUGGCUCUCAGGUCUGUGCUUUGCUGUGGAAUAUGAAUGAACGAGAACUGCUUAGCUCACAUGGGUUUACUCGGAAUCAGCUUACUCUUUGGAAAUACCCAUCAAUGGUUAGAAUUGCAGAACUCACGGGUCAUACGUCUAGAGUCCUUCAUAUGGCUCAGAGCCCAAAUGGUUGCACAGUAGCAUCAGCAGGUGGUGAAACACUGAAAUUAUGGAAUGUUUUUGGGGACCCUGAGGAGGUUAAACCAGCUCCACGACCUCCCAAAGAGCCUUUUGCCCAAGUGAGUCGUAUCCGCUGAACAAGAACAUGAGAACUUACAUCAGAUGGAGAUUUAUGAACCAAAAACUACAAUAAAGUAUGGGAUGCAGAACUGGAACUUUGAUCAGUAGUAUUCUUUUUAGCGCAGGUUGAAAUGAAAUGAAAAGCUUCAGCAAAAGUCUCAAACAGUUGCAGUGCUUACACGAACAGCGAUCUUAGGCCAUAUUCUUUCUCAAUUCCCCUGUAGGAAGAGUGAUGGGAAAUAAGAAAAAUUUGUACUAUUUAGUUAGUAAUGGAUUUCAAGAAAUCCUUGAAAUCAUAGACAUCAAUAAAGCUAGAACUGAUCUCUUUUCCCAGCAAAAAAGAAUUCCAAUUUUGGAAUCACACCCCUGCCCUGAUAUAUGCUUGUGGUUGUCUCGUUGAUCACUCCGGUUAGGCUGACACCAGUAUGCCACAGAGGCCACCGAAACCGAAGGGGGAACUUUGUUUUUGAAGAUUCAAGUAAUGUGGAGCUGUUGGUGCUGCAGGCAGCUUAAUUAGUACUAGCAUUUGCCUAGAUUCUAUUGUGUCUCAUUUUGUUAACCUGUAGCAUGCUGUAUUAAACUAGCUUCCUAGCAGCAAUGACAUUGUUAAUGUUCUUCCUUAACACUUCCUCUUUUUUUU